GAUGAACGCUAGCUACAGGCCUAACACAUGCAAGUCGAGGGGCAGCGGGAAGGAAGCUUGCUUUCUUUGCCGGCGACCGGCGCACGGGUGCGUAACGCGUAUCGAACCUACCCUUUACUCGGGAACAGCCUUGCGAAAGCAAGAUUAAUGCCCGAUGUUCCGCGUUUGCCGCAUGGCAAAUUCGGCAAAGAUUUAUUGGUAAAGGAUGGCGAUGCGUCCCAUUAGUUAGUUGGCGGGGUAACGGCCCACCAAGACGACGAUGGGUAGGGGUUCUGAGAGGGAAGGUUCCCCCCACAUUGGAACUGAGACACGGUCCAAACUCCUACGGGAGGCAGCAGUGAGGAAUAUUGGUCAAUGGGCGAGAGCCUGAACCAGCCAAGUAGCGUGCAGGAAGACGGCCCCUAUGGGUUGUAAACUGCUUUCAUCGGGGAUAAAGUGUACCAUGUAUGGUGUUUUGCAGGUACCGCAUGAAUAAGGACCGGCUAAUU
rnacentral:rRNA from 1 species